rnacentral:rRNA from 1 species
CCUACGGGAGGCAGCAGUGAGGAAUAUUGGUCAAUGGACGAGAGUCUGAACCAGCCAAGUAGCGUGAAGGAUGACUGCCCUAUGGGUUGUAAACUUCUUUUAUAAAGGAAUAAAACGAGGCACGUGUGCCUUUUUGCAUGUACUUUAUGAAUAAGGAUCGGCUAACUCCGUGCCAGCAGCCGCGGUAAUACGGAGGAUCCGAGCGUUAUCCGGAUUUAUUGGGGUUAAAGGGAGCGUAGAUGGGUUGUUAAGUCAGUUGUGAAAGUUUGCGGCUCAACCGUAAAAUUGCAAUUGAUACUGGCAGUCUUGAGUACAGUUGAGGUAGGCGGAAUUCGUGGUGUAGCGGUGAAAUGCUUAGAUAUCACGAAGAACCCCGAUUGCGAAGGCAGCUUACUAAACUGUGACUGACAUUGAUGCUCGAAAGUGUGGGUAUCGAACAGGAUUAGAUACCCGGGUAGUC